GAUCGCCAAUUACCAGUGGAUUUAGCGUUGGAUUCGUCACAACUCGCACGGCACCCAGAUUAGCAUCGUAUAAACCACCGAAAAACAUCGCUUUAGCGGCGACAAGUAACGCGCCUAAACCUAAAAAAAUGAGAUGAUUACCUAAAAUCAACCCUAACUUUUUCGGGUCAUCCCA
rnacentral:antisense_RNA from 1 species